GACGAACGCUGGCGGCGUGGAUUAGGCAUGCAAGUCGAACGGUAUCAUCCUUUCGGGGGUGAGAGAGUGGCGAACUGGUGAGUAACACGUAGGUUAUCUACCCUCAAGACGGGGACAACCCAGGGAAACUUGGGCUAAUACCGGAUGUGAGCAACUUUUAGUUGUUUGAAAGGUGGCGUAAGCUGUCGCUUGGGGAUGAGCCUGCGUCCUAUUAGUUAGUUGGUGAGGUAACGGCUCACCUAGGCAAUGAUAGGUGGGCGGCCUUAACGGGUGGUCGCCCACACUGGGAUUGAGAUACGGCCCAGACUCCUACGGGAGGCAGCAGUCGAGAAUAGUCUACAAUGGUCGGAAGACUGAUAGUGCGACGCCGCGUGAACGAUGAAUCCCUUCGGGGGUUAAAGUUCUUUUAUAUGUGAGCAGUGCUUCUUAUAUUAACAGUAUGGGGAAGAGAUAUUAGCAUAUGAAUAAGCAACGGCUAACUCGUGCCAGCAGCCGCGGUAAUA
rnacentral:rRNA from 1 species